rnacentral:rRNA from 1 species
GGUUAAGCGACUAAGCGUACACGGUGGAUGCCUAGGCAAUCAGAGGCGAUGAAGGACGUGCUAAUCUGCGAUAAGCGUCGGUAAGGUGAUAUGAACCGUUAUACCCGACGAUUUCCGAAUGGGGAAACCCAGUGCAAUUCGUUGCACUAUCGUUUGAUGAAUACAUAGUCAAACGAAGCGAACCGGGGGAACUGAAACAUCUCAGUACCCCGAGGAAAAGAAAUCAACCGAGAUUCCCCUAGUAGCGGCGAGCGAACGGGGAGCAGCCCAGAGUCUUAAUCAGCAUCAGCAUCAGGAGAACGGUCUGGAAAGUCCGGCAGUAAAGGGUGAUAGCCCCGUAUCCGAAGGUGUUGGUGUUGUGAACUCGACGAGUAGGGCGGGACACGUGUUAUCCUGUCUGAAUAUGGGGGGACCAUCCUCCAAGGCUAAAUACUCCUGAUUGACCGAUAGUGAACCAGUACCGUGAGGGAAAGGCGAAAAGAACCCCGGCGAGGGGAGUGAAAUAGAACCUGAAACCGUGUACGUACAAGCAGUGGGAGCACCUUCGGGUGUGACUGCGUACCUUUUGUAUAAUGGGUCAGCGACUUAUAUUCUGUAGCAAGGUUAACCGUAUAGGGGAGCCGUAGGGAAACCGAGUCUUAACUGGGCGAAUGAGUUGCAGGGUAUAGACCCGAAACCCGGUGAUCUAGCCAUGGGCAGGUUGAAGGUUGGGUAACACUAACUGGAGGACCGAACCGACUAAUGUUGAAAAAUUAGCGGAUGACUUGUGGCUGGGGGUGAAAGGCCAAUCAAACCGGGAGAUAGCUGGUUCUCCCCGAAAGCUAUUUAGGUAGCGCCUCGUGAACUCAUCUUCGGGGGUAGAGCACUGUUUCGACUAGGGGGUCAUCCCGACUUACCAACUCGAUGCAAACUACGAAUACCGAAGAAUGUUAUCACGGGAGACACACGGCGGGUGCUAACGUUCGUCGUGAAGAGGGAAACAACCCAGACCGCCAGCUAAGGUCCCAAAGUCAUGGUUAAGUGGGAAACGAAGUGGGAAGGCUCAGACAGCCAGGAUGUUGGCUUAGAAGCAGCCAUCAUUUAAAGAAAGCGUAAUAGCUCACUGGUCGAGUCGGCCUGCGCGGAAGAUGUAACGGGGCUAAACCAUGCACCGAAGCUGCGGCAGCGACAUUUAGAUGUUGUUGGGUAGGGGAGCGUUCUGUAAGCCUGCGAAGGUGUGCUGUGAGGCAUGCUGGAGGUAUCAGAAGUGCGAAUGCUGACAUAAGUAACGAUAAUGCGGGUGAAAAACCCGCACGCCGGAAGACCAAGGGUUCCUGUCCAACGUUAAUCGGGGCAGGGUGAGUCGACCCCUAAGGCGAGGCAGAAAUGCGUAGUCGAUGGGAAACAGGUUAAUAUUCCUGUACUGGUGAUAAUUGCGAUGGGGGGACGGAGAAGGCUAGGCUAUCCGGGCGACGGUUGUCCCGGUUUAAGGAUGUAGGCAGGUGAAUUAGGCAAAUCCGGUUCACUACAUGCUGAGGUCUGAUGACGAGUCACUACGGUGAUGAAGUAGCUCAUGCCCCGCUUCCAGGAAAAGCCUCUAAGCUCUAGAUUAUCAUUAAUCGUACCCCAAACCGACACAGGUGGUCAGGUAGAGAAUACUCAGGCGCUUGAGAGAACUCGGGUGAAGGAACUAGGCAAAAUGGUGCCGUAACUUCGGGAGAAGGCACGCUGGCGCUAGGUGAAGUGGUUUACCCAUGGAGCUGAAGCCAGUCGCAGAUACCAGCUGGCUGCAACUGUUUAUUAAAAACACAGCACUGUGCAAACACGAAAGUGGACGUAUACGGUGUGACGCCUGCCCGGUGCUGGAAGGUUAAUUGAUGGGGUUAUCCGUAAGGAGAAGCUCUUGAUCGAAGCCCCAGUAAACGGCGGCCGUAACUAUAACGGUCCUAAGGUAGCGAAAUUCCUUGUCGGGUAAGUUCCGACCUGCACGAAUGGCGUAAUGAUGGCCAGGCUGUCUCCACCCGAGACUCAGUGAAAUUGAACUCGCUGUGAAGAUGCAGUGUACCCGCGGCAAGACGGAAAGACCCCGUGAACCUUUACUAUAGCUUGACACUGAACAUUGAGCCUUGAUGUGUAGGAUAGGUGGGAGGCUUUGAAGUGUGGACGCCAGUCUGCAUGGAGCCAACCUUGAAAUACCACCCUUUAAUGUUUGAUGUUCUAACGUUGCCCCGUGAUCCGGGGUGCGGACAGUGUCUGGUGGGUAGUUUGACUGGGGCGGUCUCCUCCCAAAGAGUAACGGAGGAGCACGAAGGUUGGCUAAGCAUGGUCGGACAUCAUGCGGUUAGUGCAAAGGCAUAAGCCAGCUUGACUGCGAGAGUGACGGCUCGAGCAGGUACGAAAGUAGGUCUUAGUGAUCCGGUGGUUCUGAAUGGAAGGGCCAUCGCUCAACGGAUAAAAGGUACUCCGGGGAUAACAGGCUGAUACCGCCCAAGAGUUCAUAUCGACGGCGGUGUUUGGCACCUCGAUGUCGGCUCAUCACAUCCUGGGGCUGAAGUAGGUCCCAAGGGUAUGGCUGUUCGCCAUUUAAAGUGGUACGCGAGCUGGGUUUAGAACGUCGUGAGACAGUUCGGUCCCUAUCUGCCGUGGGCGUUGGAAGAUUGAAAGGGGCUGCUCCUAGUACGAGAGGACCGGAGUGGACGCACCACUGGUGUUCGGGUUGUCAUGCCAAUGGCAUUGCCCGGUAGCUAAGUGCGGAAGAGAUAACCGCUGAAAGCAUCUAAGCGGGAAACUUGCCUUGAGAUGAGUCUUCCCUGACUCUUUAAGGGUCCUAAAGGAACGUUUAAGACUAAGACGUUGAUAGGCUGGGUGUGUAAGCGUAGCGAUACGUUGAGCUAACCAGUACUAAUGAACCGUGAGGCUUAACCUG